GUAGUCGCUUCGGCGGUACGUAUACUAAAAUUGGAACGAUACAGAGAAGAUUAGCACAGACCCUGCGCAAAGAUGACGCCAAAAUUCGUGAAGUGUUCCACAUUUUU